AACAGAAAGAAUGAAUUAAUGCAUGGGGAAGGGUCCAGCCACCAGCAAGGGCAAAAAAGCACAUCUGAUGCACAGCCCAGGCCUCGCACAUCGUUUAUCAACCCUCACGUCAUUGUUCACAGCUGUCACUUCCUGGGGCUCAGAGGACCAGCGCCUGCUUUCGCCAGUGAAGAACACAGCCCCUGCAUCUGAAGGCUCUUUCACCGACUAUUUGUUUAACAAUUAAUGUGACUGUGCAGGCAGCCGAGCAGUGAUGUAAAAGCUCAGCUAAUUAUUAGUUCUGCAUGGAAAGCUGCCAUUGCUGAAUUAACAAUGGAAGGAUGGUGCGGGCAGCGAGUGCUACUGAGAGCACAACAGAGGGCAACUACCUGGAUUGAGGGAUCAUGUCUACUGCCCGCGAAAGCUCCUGCUCCUGCCUGUUGUUGCAUCCCCUGAAGCGGCCUUGACAGGUCAAGGCUUAGAAGCGUUCCGAGUGCUCUGGCAAUUGCAUUUCCUCUGACUGUCGCUUUCACCACGUCACCCUCUGCUUCUCCCUUAUCACAUCAAACACAAGCUGCUUGUCGCCUUCUGCCAGCUGCUACCAAUGGACUGCAUGGUUUGUGAGGGUGACACCCUCCCUGGAGGAGUUUAAAAGCUGGCUUAAAACCGUUCGCCCUCAUCCUGUUCCUGCACUUCCUGAUCAAGAGCCCCUCCCCAGCUCCUCUGGAGUCCCUCUCAGGACUGAAAGCUGCUCUCAGGUCUCCCCGGAGCAGAUGGAAGCACCGAUACCGCAGCGAGCAGAUGGGUGAAGAAUUGAGCAAGAAGUAAAGGAAGACUGAAAUCAUUCAACUUGCAUUCUAGACACAGGUUUUGAAACCACCUCAUGUAUAAACUGCUUAAGAAAAUCCAGGCUGACACAAAAGGUAAGGAAUCCGACCCACAUCCUUUUCUAAUGUCUCUAGUUUGCAAACUGGUUUGUGACCUGUGAUGUCUUGGAGCAUGGGGUCAAUGGGAAGUCCUUUAGGGCAAGGCUGAAAAGACAAGGACUAGACUUGAUUGCCCCAAUUCUGUCCAGCACUGCGCUCAGACAUUCAUCUGUACUGCCUGUGCAAAAAUACUGGCUGUCCAAAUACACUAUUUCCUUUCUAAAAACAUUUAAAACUUCCUGCUCCCAUGAGACAUUUGGAAACACACAUAUUAAAGGACUCGGAGAUGUCGGUGUACCUUUCUAUGUACCGAAAUCCAUGUUCCAUAAUCAAACAUCUAUUGGUUUUACAAGACCUCUUAAUUCUGUGGCAGCAGCUUUAAUACACAUAUACACACGACCCAGCACGGUGACCAUUCCACACCGAUCUGCAACAGGCACUGAUCUAAGAUAAAGGAGUGGUUUUCUAAAGACAGUUUUUGAUUUACCUUUUCUUACCUAAAUGCUCUGAAAUAUCCCAACCCAAACAACUAAUGAAAGCCUACUGAACUGCAGACCAUAGCCCAGUCAACUCUGCAAAGCGUCUACAAGAUGCAAUAAGUCAGUCUUGCUGGCAGUUAGGGUGUAGUAAGCGUGCUCUGCUCUCUUCUCCACACAGCUGCACAUAUAUAGCAGCACAGCGUAGCUUUUUCCAUCUCUGAAGGAAACAUUUGAUUCAAUAGU